UCUAUUAUGGCAGAUAAAAUGCAAUAAAUUUAAGAUUUAUUUAUAGAUAAAUUUAUCUUUUUAGAA
rnacentral:tRNA from 1 species